rnacentral:rRNA from 1 species
AGUGAACGCUGGCGGUAGGCCUAACACAUGCAAGUCGAACGGCAGCACAGUAAGAGCUUGCUCUUACGGGUGGCGAGUGGCGGACGGGUGAGGAAUACAUCGGAAUCUACUUUUUCGUGGGGGAUAACGUAGGGAAACUUACGCUAAUACCGCAUACGCCCUACGGGUGAAAGCAGGGGAUCUUCGGACCUUGCGCGAGUGAAUGCGCCGAUGUCGGAUUAGCUAGUUGGCGGGGUAAAGGCCCACCAAGGCGACGAUCCGUAGCUGGUCUGAGAGGAUGAUCAGCCACACUGGAACUGAGACACGGUCCAGACUCCUACGGGAGGCAGCAGUGGGGAAUAUUGGACAAUGGGCGCAAGCCUGAUCCAGCCAUACCGCGUGGGUGAAGAAGGCCUUCGGGUUGUAAAGCCCUUUUGUUGGGAAAGAAAAGCAGCAGGUUAAUACCCCGCUGUUCUGACGGUACCCAAAGAAUAAGCACCGGCUAACUUCGUG